CUCCUACGGGAGGCAGCAGUGGGGAAUUUUGGACAAUGGGCGCAAGCCUGAUCCAGCAAUGCCGCGUGAGUGAAGAAGGCCUUCGGGUUGUAAAGCUCUUUUGUCAGGGAAGAAACGGUGAGGGCUAAUAUCCUUUGCUAAUGACGGUACCUGAAGAAUAAGCACCGGCUAACUACGUGCCAGCAGCCGCGGUAAUACGUAGGGUGCAAGCGUUAAUCGGAAUUACUGGGCGUAAAGCGUGCGCAGGCGGUUUUGUAAGUUUGUCGUGAAAUCCCCGGGCUCAACCUGGGAAUGGCGAUGAAGACUGCAAGGCUAGAAUCUGGCAGAGGGGGGUAGAAUUCCACGUGUAGCAGUGAAAUGCGUAGAGAUGUGGAGGAACACCGAUGGCGAAGGCAGCCCCCUGGGUCAAGAUUGACGCUCAUGCACGAAAGCGUGGGGAGCAAACAGGAUUAGAUACCCUGGUAGUCCACGCCCUAAACGAUGUCUACUAGUUGUCGGGUUUUAAUUAACUUGGUAACGCAGCUAACGUGUGAAGUAGACCGCCUGGGGAGUACGGUCGCAAGAUUAAAACUUAAAGGAAUUGACGG
rnacentral:rRNA from 1 species